AGUGAACGCUGGCGGUAGGCCUAACACAUGCAAGUCGAACGGCAGCACAGUAAGAGCUUGCUCUUACGGGUGGCGAGUGGCGGACGGGUGAGGAAUACAUCGGAAUCUACUUUUUCGUGGGGGAUAACGUAGGGAAACUUACGCUAAUACCGCAUACGACCUACGGGUGAAAGCAGGGGAUCUUCGGACCUUGCGCGAUUGAAUGAGCCGAUGUCGGAUUAGCUAGUUGGCGGGGUAAAGGCCCACCAAGGCGACGAUCCGUAGCUGGUCUGAGAGGAUGAUCAGCAAACCUGAACCUGAGACCCGGCCCAGCCCCCUAGGGGAGGCAGCAGUGGGAAUAUUGGACAAUGGGCGCAAGCCUGAUCCAGCCAUACCGCGUGGGUGAAGAAGGCCUUCGGGUUGUAAAGCCCUUUUGUUGGGAAAGAAAAGCAGCAGGUUAAUACCCCGCUGUUCUGACGGUACCCAAAGAAUAAGCACCGGCUAACUUCGUG
rnacentral:rRNA from 1 species